GCUAAACGCGAAGAACCUUACCUGGGUUUGACAUAUGCAGGACGACAUCAGAGAUGGUGUUUCCCUUGUGGCCUGUUUACAGGUGGUGCAUGGCUGUCGUCAGCUCGUGUCGUGAGAUGUUGGGUUAAGUCCCGCAACGAGCGCAACCCUUGUUCCAUGUUGCCAGCGCGUAAUGGCGGGGACUCAUGGGAGACUGCCGGGGUCAACUCGGAGGAAGGUGGGGAUGACGUCAAGUCAUCAUGCCCCUUAUGUCCAGGGCUUCACACAUGCUACAAUGGCCGGUACAAAGGGCUGCGAUGCCGUAAGGUGGAGCGAAUCCUUUCAAAGCCGGUCUCAGUUCGGAUCGGGGUCUGCAACUCGACCCCGUGAAGUCGGAGUCGCUAGUAAUCGCAGAUCAGCAACGCUGCGGUGAAUACGUUCCCGGGUCUUGUACACACCG
rnacentral:rRNA from 1 species